UACGGGGGGGGGCAAGCGUUGUUCGGAAUUACUGGGCGUAAAGGGCUCGUAGGCGGCCAACUAAGUCAGACGUGAAAUCCCUCGGCUUAACCGGGGAACUGCGUCUGAUACUGGAUGGCUUGAGGUUGGGAGAGGGAGUGCGGAAUUCCAGGUGUAGCGGUGAAAUGCGUAGAUAUCUGGAGGAACACCGGGUGGCGAAGGCGGCAUCCUGGACCAAUUCUGACGCUGAGGAGCGAAAGCCAGGGGAGCAAACGGG
rnacentral:rRNA from 1 species